CACCCCUCAAGCUCUGCUUGGUUUUGGGCCGCGCCGGCAACGGCGGGCCUCGAAAAUAGUGGCGACGCCAUCGUGCUCUCAGCGUAGUAAUUCUUCUCGCUGUUGGGUCCCGGUGGUCGUCCGCCAGCAACCCCCAACUUUCUUAA
rnacentral:misc_RNA from 1 species